UGGCGAAGUUCUCUCUAACAGUGCAGGUGUACAUAAUGAGGACGCCACUUCCUUGAAGAGACGCAAUCAUUUUUGACACUGUCCAGGCACUUGACGUCACAGAACGAUUGAUACUAAAACGAGCUACAUAAUGAGGGAAGAGGACGUUUUUAUUCAAGGUCGUCAUGGAAUAGCCGCCUACGCACAAUUACACCACUUGCUAUCCCGCCGGCGUGCUCUUCCCUUUCACCCUUGAGGUGUGUGGAUAAGGCCCAGAUAUACCCACCAUCGGCCACUACAUGCUCUCUUGUUGCCACAAGCUUCGACAGCAACGGUAUACGUCGAUUGAUUACAACAUGCGGGGCUGACGUGUCAUCACCUGGAACGAAAACCUACGUUGACGCAGUGUAGUUACACCCUCGUUAAUGGAGCCUGUCCUGAGUACCAUCGACGACAACGAUGCAUUCGGUGAGAUGCAACUUCGUGCCAACAUUUACGGUCAAGGCCGAGCUUGCCUUGGGAGAACAAGCGUCGUCAAAGCGAGGCAAAAAACAAAACAAAAAGGAAUAAAAAGAGACGUCGUCUUUGAAACGCGGGCGCGUUAGUGACCACAUUGGUUCUCCACACAGAUGUAUGAAAGCGACAUUCGUGACAUUGUUCUUCUCUAAUGGCAACGCUAUCGUAACGAAGGUGCUUCAGGUAUGAAUGAACACCUGUAACUAUGUCAGAGAACGAAUAAAAGCGAAGGAAGUCCAGUUUAAUGUCCCUAUUGUCUGGUGCGCACGACUGGAAUCAACAAGAUGCUCCGGAAGGUUUCACGGUUCGC